UACAGAGGUCUCAAGCGUUGUUCGGAUUUACUGGGCGUAAAGGGCGCGUAGGCGGUCAGCACAAGUCAGUUGUGAAAUCUCCGGGCUUAACUCGGAAAGGUCAACUGAUACUGUGCGACUAGAGUGCGGAAGGGGCAACUGGAAUUCUCGGUGUAGCGGUGAAAUGCGUAGAUAUCGAGAGGAACACCUGUGGCGAAGGCGGGUUGCUGGGCCGACACUGACGCUGAGGAGCGAAAGCAUGGGGAGCGAACAGG
rnacentral:rRNA from 1 species